rnacentral:rRNA from 1 species
AACGUAGGUUCCGAGCGUUAUCCGGAUUUACUGGGCGUAAAGCGCGUUCAGGCGGUUUGGCAAGUCGGGCAUGAAAUCUCUCGGCUCAACCGGGAGAGGUUGUCCGAUACUGCUGGACUUGAGGGCAGUAGAGGGUGGUGGAAUUCCGGGUGUAGUGGUGAAAUGCGUAGAUAUCCGGAGGAACACCAGUGGCGAAAGCGGCUUCCUGGUCCAGCACCGACGUUCAGGCACGAAAGCGUGGGGAGCAAACAGG